rnacentral:rRNA from 1 species
UACGUAGGUGGCAAGCGUUGUCCGGAUUUACUGGGCGUAAAGGAUGCGUAGGUGGAUACUUAAGUGAGAUGUGAAAUCCCCGAGCUUAACUUGGGAGCUGCAUUUCAAACUGGGUAUCUAGAGUGCAGGAGAGGUAAGUGGAAUUCCUAGUGUAGCGGUGAAAUGCGUAGAGAUUAGGAAGAACACCAGUGGCGAAGGCGACUUACUGGACUGUAACUGACACUGAGGCAUGAAAGCGUGGGGAGCAAACAGG